rnacentral:lncRNA from 1 species
CUGGAGUAAAUAGAUGAAUAUUGUGUAUCCUCAGGAAAAGUCUUGUCACAAACCAGUAGGCGGCCCACAUUUGCCAUAUUCUGAUGAUGCCAGAGGUAGGGUGUAUGCUUUUUGCUCAGAGGAUGGAGUUAAUAGCUGAAAUAAAUCAACCCGUUCAGACUGGCUUAGUCAUAAGGAGGGAAUGAAUGGGCUCAGAGAUUUGGAUAUUCUGCUGUGGAUCGCAUGGCCCAUAAUGCCUAGCCUGAACCAUUUGCUACCAGUGUUCAAACUGGACCCAACUUUUUAGUGUCAUAUUAGUUAUAUGUAGCAGAAUUAUGGCAGUUUUAUACAUGUACAUAUUUUUUAACAUAUUCACUCUGUUGCCCUUUGUUGGACCCAGUAAUUUCUUAUCUUCUUUUUGACAGCUUCAGGCUCUAACAACUCCCUAAGCAGUGUGAAUGUGAGCCGAGCAGCUCUAAGAAGUCAGAUCUACCCUAAGUCUGCGGAAGUGAGUGAAGAUGUCCAUGAUUCAUAUCCUGUACCAGUUUGCUUACAGGUCCUCUGGCUGUCUCACCAGGUCCAGGAGUGGCUACAGUCAUCUCAAGCUCCACUUGAGCCGGAUCUUAGUUUCCAAGACUAUUCCCAUGGCGCCCUCUACAGCCCAAUCUGCAAAAUGGCAUUUGGCUUCCUUCAGGCCAAAUGAUAAAGAGGAAGAAAGAAUGCACAAAUAGAGGCUACAGGUACAGUUUCUGUAUAAGACAGUCCUCCAAAUGACACUUCAUUAUUUUAUUUGUUAGGAGUAAGUUAUUCAGAGCCAGGCCUGGUGGUGCACACCUUUAAUCUCAGCACUUGGAAUGUAGAAGACAAGCAGAUUCCUGUAGGUUUGAAGCCUUUAUGUCUUUCACUCUACAAAUAGAAACAUUUUCACGGAACUUUAUUGAGAUUAUAGUGAAUAUUUAGUUUAUGUUGAAAAAUUCAUCUUAAUAAUGUGUAAUGUAUCAACUCUGGGCAGGGAUUGUUUAAAUUCAUUUAGAUUUUGUUUGACUCCUGAGUAUGUCUCCCCCCCCCCCCCUUUUUUUUUUUUUUUUGAGACAGAUUUUACUGUGUCGUUCUGGUUGUCCUGGAAUUCACUAUUCUGUUGACCAGGCUGG